UCUCCUAAGGCUAAAUACUCUCUAGUGACCGAUAGUGAACCAGUACCGUGAGGGAAAGGUGAAAAGCACCCCGGAAGGGGAGUGAAAUAGAACCUGAAACCGUGUGCUUACAAGUAGUCAGAGCCCGUUAAUGGGUGAUGGCGUGCCUUUUGUAGAAUGAACCGGCGAGUUACGAUUUGAUGCAAGGUUAAGCAGUAAAUGUGGAGCCGUAGCGAAAGCGAGUCUGAAUAGGGCGUUUAGUAUUUGGUCGUAGACCCGAAACCAGGUGAUCUACCCUUGGUCAGGUUGAAGUUCAGGUAACACUGAAUGGAGGACCGAACCGACUUACGUUGAAAAGUGAGCGGAUGAACUGAGGGUAGCGGAGAAAUUCCAAUCGAACCUGGAGAUAGCUGGUUCUCUCCGAAAUAGCUUUAGGGCUAGCCUCAAGUGAUGAUUAUUGGAGGUAGAGCACUGUUUGGACGAGGGGCCCCUCUCGGGUUACCGAAUUCAGACAAACUCCGAAUGCCAAUUAAUUUAACUUGGGAGUCAGAACAUGGGUGAUAAGGUCCGUGUUCGAAAGGGAAACAGCCCAGACCACCAGCUAAGGUCCCAAAAUAUAUGUUAAGUGGAAAAGGAUGUGGCGUUGCCCAGACAACUAGGAUGUUGGCUUAGAAGCAGCCAUCAUUUAAAGAGUGCGUAAUAGCUCACUAGUCGAGUGACACUGCGCCGA
rnacentral:rRNA from 1 species